GACGAACGCUGGCGGCGUGCUUAACACAUGCAAGUCGAACGGAAAGGCCUCUUUCGGGGGGUACUCGAGUGGCGAACGGGUGAGUAACACGUGAGUAACCUGCCCUUGACUUUGGGAUAACUUCAGGAAACUGGGGCUAAUACCGGAUAGGAGCUCCUGCUGCAUGGUGGGGGUUGGAAAGUUUCGGCGGUUGGGGAUGGACUCGCGGCUUAUCAGCUUGUUGGUGGGGUGGUGGCUUACCAAGGCUUUGACGGGUAGCCGGCCUGAGAGGGUGACCGGCCACAUUGGGACUGAGAUACGGCCCAGACUCCUACGGGGGGCAGCAGUGGGGAAUAUUGCACAAUGGGUGGAAGCCUGAUGCAGCAACGCCGUGUGCGGGAUGACGGCCUUCGGGUUGUAAACCGCCUUCGCUCAUGACGAAGCUUUGUGUGACGGUAGUGGGUAAAGAAGCACCGGCUAACUACGUG
rnacentral:rRNA from 1 species